AAUAUUGGACAAUGGGGGCAACCCUGAUCCAGCCAUGCCGCGUGUGUGAAGAAGGUCUUCGGAUUGUAAAGCACUUUAAGUUGGGAGGAAGGGCUUUAGGUUAAUACCCUGAAGUUUUGACGUUACCAACAGAAUAAGCACCGGCUAACUCUGUGCCAGCAGCCGCGGUAAUACAGAGGGUGCAAACGUUAACCGGAAUUACUGGGCGUAAAGGCCGCGUAGGUGGGUCAAUAAAAAUGGUGUGAAAUUCCCGGGCUUAACCUGGGAAAUGCUUUUAAAACCUCUUAGCCAGAGUAAUGUAGAGGGUAGUGGAAUUUCCUGUGUAGGGGGGAAAUGCGUAAGAAAAGGAAGGAACACCAGUGGGGAAGGCGACUACCUGGAAUGAAACUGAAACUGAGGUGCGAAAGCGUGGGGAGCAAAC
rnacentral:rRNA from 1 species